AUUGAACGCUAGCGGCAGGCUUAACACAUGCAAGUCGAGCGGGGAAAGGUAGCUUGCUACCUGACCUAGCGGCGGACGGGUGAGUAAUGCUUAGGAAUCUGCCUAUUAGUGGGGGACAACAUCUCGAAAGGGAUGCUAAUACCGCAUACGUCCUACGGGAGAAAGCAGGGGACCUUCGGGCCUUGCGCUAAUAGAUGAGCCUAAGUCGGAUUAGCUAGUUGGUGGGGUAAAGGCCUACCAAGGCGACGAUCUGUAGCGGGUCUGAGAGGAUGAUCCGCCACACUGGGACUGAGACACGGCCCAGACUCCUACGGGAGGCAGCAGUGGGGAAUAUUGGACGAUGGGGGGAACCCUGAGCCAGCCAUGCCGCGUGUGUGAAGAAGGCCGUUUGGUUGUAAAGCACUUUAAGCGAGGAGGAGGCUACCGAGAUUAAUACUCUUGGAUAGUGGACGUUACUCGCAGAAUAAGCACCGGCUAACUCUGUG
rnacentral:rRNA from 1 species